GGUGAGAGACAACGAGAGAAGGAAGUGGGGCCAACACUUAGGUGCAACUCACAGAGUCCAUCUAUUCAUAAAGCCUGUUCUUCUCUGCCUUCAGGGUUUUAUGCUCAUGCAAGUAUUCACUUGGAGUGAUCAGCUCAGAGCUGGGCGGCUGUACUGGUAGGAAGUGCAUAUAUCAGGAGCAGAAAAUUGAAGAAAGAUCUUCGGGGCACAGAGGGGCACGAUAAAUCACAGUCCUGGCACAGGCAGGGACCAGAACCAUUACUUCAGAAGAAGAAGCAAAAGACAGACAGCUGUAACAAGGAAGGGGCUCCUGAAGUGAAAGCAUUCAGACGAAGACAGAAGGAACCACUGUGUGGAUCAGCCUUUUUCAUCUUGCAACCACCACCUCAGCCAGUGGCAUUUUUCCCCCGCUGAGCACACAUUGAUGUACCACAGGCUGCAACGGCCAGGAAUGGUGAGAAGCAGGAAGCAGAGAAAUUCCUUUUGGAGUAACACAUAGACCCUCUUCUUUACCUUGGGCCAGCCUGGAGUAGCAAAGGAUGCUGUGGUCUCUGUGAGCCCACUCCUGUUUGUCUAGAGAGAAAGGGUUCACCCUUUACUGGAAAAAGAGGUGGAGACCUGAGCUGAUUUCAUCUCUGAGGCAAU